UACGUAGGGUGCAAGCGUUAAUCGGAAUUACUGGGCGUAAAGCGCGCGUAGGCGGCUUUGCAAGUCGGGUGUGAAAUCCCCAGGCUUAACCUGGGAACUGCAUUCGAGACUGCAUUGCUAGAGUAUGGGAGAGGGAAGUGGAAUUUCCGGUGUAGCGGUGAAAUGCGUAGAUAUCGGAAGGAACACAGUGGCGAAAGCGGACUCCGUGGACCGGAAUUGACGCUGAGGCGCGAAAGCUAGGGGAGCAAACGGG
rnacentral:rRNA from 1 species